GACGAACGCUGGCGGCGUGCCUAAUACAUGCAAGUCGAACGCUUCUUUCCUCCCGAGUGCUUGCACUCAAUUGGCAAGAGGAGUGGCGGCCGGGGGAGUAACACGUCGGUAACCUACCCUUCAGAGGGGGAUCACACUUUGAUACAGGUUCUAAUACCGCCUAACAGUUUAUGCCGCAUGGCAUAAGAGUGAAGGGCGCUUUCGGCUGCCUUUGAUGGUUUGACCUGCGGUGCAUUGGCUAGUUGGUGGGGUAACGGCUCACCAAGGCGGCGAUGGAUAGCCGAGCUGAGGGGGUGAUGGGCCACAGUGGGACUGAGACACGGCCCUGACACCUACGGGAGGCAGCGGUAGGGAAGCUUCGGAAAUGGAGGAAAUACUGCACGAGCAACGCAGCGCGGGUGAAGAAGGGUUGCGGGGCGGAAAACUCUGUUGUUAGAGAAGAACACUGACGUUAGGAACUGAACGUCUCGUGACGGUAUCUAACCAGAAAGCCACGGCUAACUACGUG
rnacentral:rRNA from 1 species